UCACAGUGGGAGGAGGCUGGGUGCGGCCCGCACGCCCCCUCCCUUUCCCGUUUCCCUGAGGCCGGGACCUUCAGUCUUUGACGAGGUGCCCUUUCUUCCCACAGCCCCAGCAACGCCCUCUCGCACGCACUUGGAGCGGGGGCACUGCGGGGGAUGGCUGUGCUGGCUGGGGACAGCUCACUGCGAUGUGGCCUGCUUGGCCAGGUUUGAAGCACGCCAUUGCACUGGUUAAGGUGCGAACGGCUGCCUGGAUGGUGUCAGUUGCUCCUCUUUUACUACAUGUUUAAUCAUGUCGGCCAGGCUGGCUCCGGCCGGCAAGGAGUGCAGAAUGUCUUUGGUAACUGAGUUGCAUUGUUGCCGCAGGCAAUCAGCCACCACAGGGCCCCUUGAUUCUGCAGGCAGAGUGGACGAAUCUACUGCUGCCUGGAGGCGAUCCACAAACUGUGUGAAGCUUUCACUCUCUGCCUGUUUUAUGCUGGACCAUGGGGAUGGCCUGGCCACCACUAGGGAUGUGGCACGAAUGGCCUUUCUGGCGGCCUGGGUGGUGGCCCUGACUUCCUCAACGCACAGGUGCGCAGCUUGUUGCUGAGGGGUUAUCAUCUCGUCAUGUUUGCCCAUCAACCUGGACAAGCUGGAGCCAUGCAAUGGCUGUUCUGCCCCAGAAGCCUGAUCCAGUAAGUUUGCGCAAUUAUCUUUCCAUUCCUGUUUGAAAACAAUCAUUCCCUCGCCGUCAAAAAUCGUGCGACCUAUUUGUUUAAUAUCAAAGGGUAGCAAAUCAUGAUUGCCAAAAAGGCCCUCCACGAGUGUGGAGACCAUGGCUGAAUUAAUCCCAUUCUCUGAAAUUGCUUUAACAAUUGCCUGUACAUCUUUAGGGUUUACCGGCGUAUAUGUUCUCUGCUGGUUCCCUUCUGGCCCGGUAACUCUCACAGGGAAGGCUCGCACUGUGGUGGCCGCAGGAGCCCACUCAGCACAAGCUAUCUUUAUCUUUCCCCAGUCAGUGAACUGGGCUGGCUCGUAUUGUGAACCCUUUUCGGAGUGGCUCAGAGCUUUUUUCGUUUUCGUUUCCGCAUCCUAGCCAGCUUCCAUCAGCUCUCCCGAACUGCUGGAGCUGGUGGUGUCUGACUGAGAAUCGGAAGUAAACUGAUAGCUCACUUCUGGGCCAUUUUGUGCGGCUCUGACCCUGCCCCUCCCUUCAGGGGUGGCACCACUCCCGCCCCCUGGGCUUGCCCUGCCUCCUGUGGGGGGUGGUCUCUCCCUUAAACAGAAGCAGCACUGAGCGCGGCUCCCGAUUGGGCACGCGCUCUCUGCUGUCCUCCCAUGCACGCGUGUUAGCGAAAGCCCGCAACUCUGGACUGAGCGCGAGCUCUCUGCCGCUCUCCCGCGCAUACACGCUUGCGGAAAUCCGCGGUUCCUGUCCGAGUGUGUGCUCUUCUCCCUCUUCCCCGUCUUUUUCCCGCACGUGCGCAUCAGCAAACACCCGCCGCUCCGGGCUCUCCCUGCUGAGGAUAUCCAGGCUCCGCCCCUCCCUUCGGCCAGCGCCAUUUUCAAACACGUAUGGCGGGGGUGCUACCUGUGUCUCCUCCCGUGCCACGUUUUGGCGUCUCUGGCUUCACCCCUCAGUUCCUCCCAAAAAACCCACGCGCGCUGCUGCGCCUCGGGCACCGAAACACUGGCUGGCGGCAAAGAGACAAAUGGGGAACCCGCGGAUUUUCGGGAAGGUUCCGCGGGCGAGGAGGGCAACGACAGGUUUGGCGGAAGGGUCGGGGGGUUUUCAGGGGCCAUCGGGGGGUUCGGGCUUGGGCUCAGUGAGCGGGGAAGCGUGCCUGGCUCUCGCGGAUCCCCACCCUCGGACAAAUUGCGUUCAAAUGCUGUUUGCGUUGUGGCUCCUAUCCCCAGCUUGGGGGUAGCUAGCAAACACACGCAUGCGGCGCUCCAGAACUCCUGUUCCUCAAGCGCCUUGCGUAGGGCUCGCUCGACCUUUCCCCACGCUUUGAGACUUUUGCCGCUGCCUGAGGAUUUUGUAUCCUCGGCUAGCACGACCGUGCAUCUCCCCCACACCUCCAAAUGUAAUAUUUCUACUGGGUGUUCAGUCACCCCAAUCUCUAAUAAUCUUGCGAUAGCAAGGUGAAAAUCCCUGAGCUUGCACUUAAUUCCCCACUGUUUAUGAAUCAAACUUAUGACCUUCACCAUGGUGUCCAUUGGCUGGUCCGACGGCGUCCCGUCCGCCAGAGUAGGUUUCUUUUCCCACCCUGGCCGCUGCUUCUGUCCAGGCAAAAACCCCGAUUUCCAAGGGUUUUUUUCCUCAUGGGUUUCAGCACCAGAAUGUUGCCUUCUGAUAUGAAGGCAGGCGACCUGGGUUCCAGAAAGCGGCACGGCAACCCGGCCUCUCCCGGGUUACUCGGUCCACAGACACACUGGCAUCGAUAGGAUGGAUGGUCAAAAUGGCGUUUAUUGCUUUACCUCAUGGUGUUAAAUAGUCAAAGGGGGCUUUACUACGUCAGAGAGGGGCGGAGGGUCCUUAUCUUUCUGUGACAUCCGCGAUCUUCCGGGCGCCUGUCCUUAUCUAUCGCACACACAGGGUGGGAGGGAGGGGUUCCAACACGUGGCUAGAUUCAAAGCCUGCCUCAGCUUCCGUAAUGUCCAUGUCCACCAAAACACUGUCCUCAGUCUCUGCGUCUGAUUCUGGAUCACCCUGGGAGGUUUUCUAGUCAGUGGAAUUUUCAGAGCUGGACCAUGCUCCAUAACUGUGGAGGACCGUAACGAACUUCUUCCAAGAUAUAAUCAAAUUUGACACUCCUUCAUCUCCUGCAUACAAAGUCUCAACCAAAGUGUCUCCUAGUAAUUGCCAUUUCCUCUUGGAAAAUGCUUUCUCAGCAUUUCUUGGGUUGGUUUUCCCGAGAUAUAUUGAUUAGGAGUCUUUUUUCCUUGAAAGCCCGUGCUAGAAGCAGAAGGAAGAGUGGGAGUUUGCCAGUUCAGGUUUCUCAGAGUUGUUUAUUAUUUCUUACCUCUAAGUUCUUUCAGCGCCCAGCAAAGGUCUUUGCUGUGGCAAGAGCACGUGGUGACUCCCCCAGGUCGGGAGGGCUCGGAUCUUUUGUACUUUUUCCCUGACCCAACCACUGUCCACAAUGUAUUAUUUAUUUACAAUUAAUUACCAAUACCUAUUACCUAUGUUAGACAUGACACACACAUGAAGUAGAAAUUUAAGCUUUAAACCUUCUCGAAGUGCCUAACUGCUAGGGUAGAGGUAAAAAGCUUCAGGCCUUGCAAUAGAGUAUAGACAUAAUAAAAAUAUGGUAGAGUGCUGUUUGUAAUUUGUAUGAACUUUAUAUAGGGAAGACAGACAUUUUCAUAUAUGCUAAGAUAGAAGUUUUCUACAUAACAAGAUAGAACUUUAUGCUAGUAAGAUAGAGUUUUGCGUUAAUAGAUAUGUUAUGUGCAUAGGUUUUGAUACUGUUUUUCGUAGUUUUUACGAACUUUAAAAUUGUACUUAGAUUGGCUAGUGUGUAGAUAAAAAAUAUGAAUAUGCAUUUUGCAAUUUGGGAUAAAAAGCCUCAGGGUUGGAGGUGGAGGUAUUGAUUGAUUGAUCAAUUCGAUCCAUCGAUCCAACCUCCAUUUUCUGCAACCUGAGGAACGAUCCUUGACAGGGAGCCGAAACGGGAUUUUAAGGUAUUAUACAUCGCGGUCCCCGUUCCAAGGGAUCUGGGUCCCGGGGUUCCCCCCUGCAGCACUUGCCGCCGGAGCGCUGGUCAGGACAGCCGGGGACUCUGCGUGGGGAGGGACCCCGGGGCCCCCACUGCCCUCGCGAUCCCCGCGGACGGGAACCCUGUGCGGCCUGGGGCCCCCACUGCCCUCGCUAUCCCCUGCGGACGGGAAUCCUGCGCAGCUCGGGGCCCCCACUGCCAACGCGAUCCCCGUGAUUUUGAAUAACGGCUAUGAUGUUUCUGGAAAAGAUUUGAAGGAUCUACUGAUUUAUGUGCAAAAAUACUUCCCAGAAACGGAAUCAUUAUUAGCAUUAAGUAAAUCUGGGAUGAAGUAGGGAUCAAAUUGUUUGAUGAAGUUACCAGAGGAGAUAAAAUUGCACCAGUGAUAUUACCAACUUGGAGACUGGUUGUAGAAGUUUUUAACAAAUCACAGAUGGAAAUUGGAAAUUCAGAACUUACUUUAUUUGGUACAGCCGUGUCGCAAACCGUUGAGGAAACCCGAGAUCAUGACUCGCUUUUGGGGGCGGUGGGGGGCACAGAUGAAUCUCUUUCUGCUCCUCAGAAACAAGGGAUGGUUCUCCCUGCUGCCGAAACCAUGCCGCAGCUCGGGGGCUGCGGGACAGUGGACGGUAUAGUACCAGCGCUGGCCCCCGGCUGCCGAGGCUCCAUCGCACACAACUGUGAGCUCGGGACCAGAGGCGCGGACUGCGGCAUGGCCGGACCCUCUGUGCCACCUCCAGCCGCGGUCCGGGGCUGCGGAGGGACUCCCCAUGCCACAGAUAAACCCGUGCCGGGAAGAUCCGAACUCUACGGGAGUCCCGCCGCAGCCCACCCCCACAAAGAUCGUGGAUCAUCCACAGACCGGGGUCCUGCCAUCUCUCCUGUCGCUGCUUCAGCCACACAUGACAGAAUUGUCUCUACGGCCAUGCGACAAUUUACUGCUUGCAAAGCAAACCAGCGAAUAUGUACAUCAGACACUGGACAGAUUAACGGCAGCCGUGGCCCCCUUCCUACCGGAGCCGCCGCUGCCGCUGGCUGAUGACAACGUACAAAACCACGCAUCUAACCUGCAACCACCCAUCAGACACCGACACCCAGGAGCACGACCUAAAGGGUGUCUGAGAGCGCAUGUGCCGCCAUUACGCAGCUUCCACGCGGCUUCCACUGCUCGCGAAAAAGAACCGGCACAGCGGAUCAACGUCAUGCCUGCGCCGAGCCACAUCGAUCUUCCCUCAGUGCCCGCGCCAAGCCACAUCAUUCUUCCUUCAGCACCUGCGCAGAUGCCUGCUCGCCCACACCACUUUAUGGACUGCUUCAUUACGCCUUCUGCGCAUGCCUUGAUCCCCCCCGACCUUACACAGGGCUUGGAAAAUACCAAUGCCUCACCGAGAGGGGGAACAGGGCGGGCAGGCAUCAAAGUGAAAUUACACAGGACACUAAUGCGAGACAUCACAGAACUAUAAUAUACCAAAGCAGAGCCAUCAAUAAUACAACCGCAAACAACGAAUCGGAUUCAUCAAUUUCAGAUUCAUCAGACUCAAGUCAAGAGGAAGACCCAUCCUCCUCAGAUGAGCAUUGCCCCCCACCUUUGCCUGAGUCGACUCGUCCCUCAAGAAGAACGCAGCGUGAGUCCCUGACAGACUGGGCUGCCAUGAGACGUAAGGCACUUAGAGAGGGAGAUCUUGAGAUGGCUAAGAAGCCACUUUUUAUUAUGCCAAUUAGAUAUGGCAGAGGGGGGGGUCAAUCCAUGGUGGGAACCACUUAGUCAUGAGGACAUUAAAGACUUAAGGAAAGCUAUUAAAGAAAGCGGAUUGGGUUCACCCUAUCUUAAACAAUUACUAAAAGGACCAUUCCAAAAUGUUGAUCUAACACCAUAUGACUGUCGUUAUAUUGCUAAUCUAAUACUAACAGAAUCACAGUAUAUGCUGUGGGAAUCCAAAUGGAGGAGGUUUUUGGUUCAGCUUCGAGAGAGCUAUGCUGGUGGUCCUCAUGCUGCAAUAACACUGGCAGAUAUGGCUGGAGAUCCACCACAUGAUAGGCAGGAGGAUCAAUUAGACAUAAAUAGAAAUGUACUAAGAGAUAUCAAAAAUGCUGCCCGUAAAGCCUUAGUAUUUACUCAGCCAGUUGGGGUCCCUGAGGGGACCUAUACAGGAAUAAAGCAAGGGGCAACUGAACCCUAUGCAGCAUUUAUUGAUCGUUUGACACAAGUUUUAGAGAGACAAUGUGAAGAUGAUGUGGCCCGACCAAUUCUCCUUCACAAUCUUGCUUAUGCAAAUGCGAAUGGGGAAUGCAAAAAGGUCAUUCGAAACUUGCCUGAUGCUGAACCCACUGUGCCUCAAAUGUUAGAGGCUUGUAGCAAAAUUGCAACUCCCCAACACAUUGCUACAAUCCAGGCAGAGGCUCUGGGAGAAAAACUUGAAAAGGCUCUCGCCGUUCAAGCAGAAAUGAGAGAUGAUAAGCUUGCUAAAGCCCUUGAAGGCCUUAGCUCAGCACUUCAGCAAAAUAAAACAUAUCAGGAGAAUAAGAACGAUAAGAGACUCUGCUUUCGAUGUGGGAAACCUGGACAUAUGUCAAAAUUCUGCUCUGAGGUAAAAACUCAAAACCCACCUUAUCAUUGCCCAAGAUGUAGAAAGGGAAGACACUUUGUUAACGAUUGUCGUUCUAAAUUUGACAUAGAGGGCAACCCUUUGACGGGAAACUUUGUGAAAAGCACGGGCCACCGCGUGAGGAAACAAAUAGCGGUAUACCAGCAACCCGAGAGCUUCCAAGGGGCCAGGUGUGUGAACUGCUCGGGCCAAACCCCAUUCGUCAGAUUGCCAGCCACCUGCCAAGGAACACCGAUUUACUGCCACCAGGGGCGCAAUGUGAACUGGCAACUUCCAAAUUAAUUCAUUUUCUAUAUGAUUGUUAUACUGUGGUACCCACAGGUGUGACAGGAACAUCACACAGGAGACAGGAUUUUCUAAUUGUAGGCCUUUUGGACACCGGCGCGGAUGUUUUGGUGAUUUCUUAUCUGUUUUGGCCAAAAGACUGGACUUUGGUAACACCCUUGGACCCUCUCGCAGAAGUAGCACUGCUGUUGCUGCUUGCCACGGAAGGACGAGCAGCGUUGGAAAGGCUUGUGCAGCGUCGGGCCUGCAGGGAAUGCUUGAGCCACAUGUGGAGGUCGCGGGAGAGAAGAUGCCAGAGCUGGUCGAGACUGAGUCCCACGGCUGAGGAAAGGGACCUUGGCCUGACACACUUGGAGCAUGGAAUGAAGUGUGCGGGGUGGAUCUAGAGGAAGACUUAAAAUUGCUGAACGACACAAAUCAUUUGCAUUAAUAAAUGCGAUUUCUUCUAAAAUCUG